CAGACUGUGAAACUGCGAAUGGCUC
rnacentral:ncRNA from 4 species